rnacentral:rRNA from 1 species
AAAUUGAAGAGUUUGAUCAUGGCUCAGAUUGAACGCUGGCGGCAGGCCUAACACAUGCAAGUCGAACGGUAACAGGAAGCAGCUUGCUGCUUCGCUGACGAGUGGCGGACGGGUGAGUAAUGUCUGGGAAACUGCCUGAUGGAGGGGGAUAACUACUGGAAACGGUGGCUAAUACCGCAUAACGUCGCAAGACCAAAGAGGGGGACCUUCGGGCCUCUUGCCAUCAGAUGUGCCCAGAUGGGAUUAGCUUGUUGGUGAGGUAACGGCUCACCAAGGCGACGAUCCCUAGCUGGUCUGAGAGGAUGACCAGCCACACUGGAACUGAGACACGGUCCAGACUCCUACGGGAGGCAGCAGUGGGGAAUAUUGCACAAUGGGCGCAAGCCUGAUGCAGCCAUGCCGCGUGUAUGAAGAAGGCCUUCGGGUUGUAAAGUACUUUCAGCGGGGAGGAAGGUGUUGUGGUUAAUAACCGCAGCAAUUGACGUUACCCGCAGAAGAAGCACCGGCUAACUCCGUGCCAGCAGCCGCGGUAAUACGGAGGGUGCAAGCGUUAAUCGGAAUUACUGGGCGUAAAGCGCACGCAGGCGGUCUGUCAAGUCGGAUGUGAAAUCCCCGGGCUCAACCUGGGAACUGCAUUCGAAACUGGCAGGCUUGAGUCUUGUAGAGGGGGGUAGAAUUCCAGGUGUAGCGGUGAAAUGCGUAGAGAUCUGGAGGAAUACCGGUGGCGAAGGCGGCCCCCUGGACAAAGACUGACGCUCAGGUGCGAAAGCGUGGGGAGCAAACAGGAUUAGAUACCCUGGUAGUCCACGCCGUAAACGAUGUCUACUUGGAGGUUGUGCCCUUGAGGCGUGGCUUCCGGAGCUAACGCGUUAAGUAGACCGCCUGGGGAGUACGGCCGCAAGGUUAAAACUCAAAUGAAUUGACGGGGGCCCGCACAAGCGGUGGAGCAUGUGGUUUAAUUCGAUGCAACGCGAAGAACCUUACCUGGUCUUGACAUCCACGGAAGUUUUCAGAGAUGAGAAUGUGCCUUCGGGAACCGUGAGACAGGUGCUGCAUGGCUGUCGUCAGCUCGUGUUGUGAAAUGUUGGGUUAAGUCCCGCAACGAGCGCAACCC